AUUGAACGCUGGCGGCAGGUCUAACACAUGCAAGUCGAGCGGAGCGGCGGACGGGCGAGUAAUGCCUAGGAAUCUGCCUGGUUGUGGGGGCUAACGUCCUGAAAUGGGCCCUACUACCGCAUACUAUCAGAUGAGCAUAGGUCGGAUUAGCUAGUUGGUGGGGUAAAGGCCUACCAAGUCUACGACCCAUAACGGUGCUGAGAGGACGAUCGGUCACGCUGGAACUUAGUGCCGGUCCAGACUCCGACGGGAGGCAGCAGUGGGGAACAGUCGAAAAUGGGCAAAAGCCUGAUCCAGCCAUGCCGCGUGUGUGGAGAAGGUCUUCUGAUGGUAAAGCACUUUAAGUUGGGAGGCUUUACCAGCAGAAUAAGCACCGGCUCACUUCGUGCCAGCAGCCGCGGUAAUUC
rnacentral:rRNA from 1 species